AUGGCGGCCACGCCAUGGCUGCUGCUUCUCUGCCCCAGCCUCGCCGCCGGAGGCGUACUGCAAGCUCGUGCCCAGCCUGACAGCAAUGGAUUCAUAAGCAUAGACUGCGGAACGCAGGGGAAGGAGGGCUACGUGGACACGGCCACCAAGCUCUUGUACUACCCGGACACCGGCUUCACCGACGGCGCCGGCACCUGCCGCAACAUUUCAGCCGACUACAUAACAUCGUCCUUGUGCAAGUGCUUGUAUACCGUCCGCAGCUUCGCAUCUGGUGUGCGGAACUGCUACACGCUCCGCUCCCUCGUGCCCGGCCUCAAGUACCUCAUCCGAGCCAAGUUCAUGUACGGCAACUACGACGGCCUCCAACGGCCACCCAUCUUUGACCUGCACAUCGGCGUCAACUACUGGCAAACCGUGAACAUCACGAAGCCGGACGCGGAGAAGUCCGUGGAGGCCAUCGUGGUGGUGCCAGACGACUUCGUGCAAGUUUGCCUGAUCAACACCGGUGCCGGAACACCCUUCAUCUCUUUGCUGGAGCUAAGGCCGCUCAAAAAGACGAUGUACCCACAGGUGACUGCGGCACAGGGGCUCCACCUCUCAGACAGGAUCAACUUCGGCCGGAUCGAUGAAAACACCGACGUCAUCAGGUAUCCCGACGAUCCACAUGACAGAAUAUGGACACAUUUGGUUGAACCUACCGAUAUAUCAAUGACACGGAAGGUCAUACCCGACAGCCUCUUCGAAGUACCGACGGUCGUGAUGCAGACGGCGAUGAGGGCACGAAUUGUCUCAGGCGGCUUAGGAUUGUCUUGGGACCCUGAGCCCCAACCCAAAAAUCCAUCGCCGGGGUACAUCACCAUCAUGCACUUCUCUGAGCUACAUGUCCUUCCAUUCAACGCCAUACGUGAGUUCCACAUCAACCUCAACGGCGUGUCAUGGUAUCCAAACAACGUCCUACCGAAAUACCUCUCUGGCACAGCCAUCUACAAUAGCUUCCCCUCCUUGAAGAGUCACUACAACAUCUCCAUCAUGCCCACCGCUAGAUCAACACAACCGCCUAUCAUCAAUGCUAUUGAAAUAUACACGGUCAUCACCACCACCAACCUUGGCACCGACUCCGUGGAUGGUACGUUUUAUUCAGACGCAUAA
rnacentral:rRNA from 1 species